rnacentral:rRNA from 1 species
GUCCAUGCCGUAAACGUUGUGUGCUUGGUCUGAGCGGAUUCAACCCUGUUCGGAUCGGAGUUAACAUGUUAAGCACACCGCCUGGGGACUACGGUCGCAAGACUAAAACUCAAAGGAAUUGACGGGGGCCCGCACAAGCGGUGGAGUAUGUGGCUUAAUUCGAGGCAACGCGAAGAACCUUACCUGGAUUUGACAUAUAUAUGACAAUUCUGUGAAAGCAGGACUCCCUUCGGGGCAUAUAUACAGGUGCUGCAUGGCUGUCGU